GGGGUUUAUACUCCUCGGAUCGAUCGAUGCUGAGAUAUAGAGGCGAAGGGGGAGAAGAGAACGACGAUGCGAUCAAUCUAGGGUUUCAUUGAUUCCUUCAUUUCGCUGCUCCUCCAUCGAACAAAUGUCCUUGCAUAUAGGUCGGCUUUCCUCUCAUGCUCGAAGAGGAGACCUUGAACGGGCUUUCCGGAGGUUUGGGCGUUGCAGCGUACAGCUAAAAGAUGGAUAUGGAUUUGUUAUAUAUGAAGUUAUUGCUAAUGCAGAGAGAGCUUUGCGAGCGCUGAGGGGGAAAAUCAUUUGUGGGGAACAAAUUUCUCUUAAUUGGUCAAACAGACAGCCCCAGCCUUUUCAAAGAUUUACAAAGGGGUCCAGAUUCAACGAACCCUACCAAGGAAAAGAUUUUUCAACAUAUAAUCAUGAAGUAAAUCAUACCGGCAAUGCACCUGAUAAGGAGGCAAACGAAAUUAAUGAUGACAUGAAGGAUAGUAAAGAUAAUAAAAGUGAAAGUUUGAAAGGUAUGAUGGUAGAUGAAGAUGGUGCAGUUGAGCCCAAUCCCCUCGAAAAUGAUCGAUGGGGGGAAAAUGGGAACGAAUCUGACCGCUAUGAACCUUAUCAUGGUUAUGAAAGAAGAGAUGAAAACGAAAACGAAAACUUUCUGAAAGGUAGUUCUUAUGAAUCCCCAAAUCGUGGCAAUUCUCAGAAAAACCGGCGGGGAAAGCGCCCAAUUGAGUAUUUUGAUGCGAAGCCUGAUAGUUCAAAACCUCAGCUGAUCUGCUAUAAUUGUGGAUUAGUUGGCCAUAUAAAACGUAAUUGCCAACAGAUCAAAGCUCGUCACAAGGAGUUCAAAUUUAAUCACAGGGGAUAUGAAAUGAAUCUCAGAGAUCGAAGGAAGGUAAUGCUGAAGAGGUUUAGACCUAAUUCAUGGGAAAGGUCACGACGCUUGCAUGAUGGCAAGAAAUUUCUUUAUGAAAAAACGGGAAGAGCAGAUAAGAUGAGUGAUAUUUCUGCAGAAACAGCCAAAUUGAGAAGAGAUUCCAAACGAAGAAAAAGAAGAAGGUUGGAAGAAGAAGAUUUUAAGCAAGGUUUCAAGAACAUGAGGACUGGAGGAAGGAGAUAUUGCAGAUCUUCACGAUCUUCUGAUUCUUGUACAACUAGCUCAUGGUCAUGUUCACGGUCCAAAAGAAGUGCUUCAGGUACAAGCUCUUCUUCACAAUCGAAGUUGGCAUCUUCUCGCUCACCCUCGCAGUCAGUAUCCUCUCGUUUGCGGUCUGCUUCAAAGUCAUCACGCUUUCAAUCUAGAAGUUCAAGGACUAGGUCAAGAUCGAGGUCUGGGUCCAGGUCAAGUUCCAGUUUCCCUCAAUCGCUCUCUUUAUCUGUUUCGCUGGAACAUAAGCCAACUCCCCCUACCGUUGGUGGGCAAGUGGAAGUUCUGAUGAAUGGUAAUGAUGCACAAAAUGAUGUAGAAAGGCACACACUUUCAUGCAAGGCUGAGUAUAAUGAAAAUCAUUCAUGUGGUAAUUUGUCCAAAGGUGAUACUGUUGUGCCUGAUAAAUGCGAGAGAAACAAUUCUUUGAGACUAACAACUGAGGAACUGUGCUUGGCUCUUAGACACUAUGGGUUGGAAACACCGCAGGAGGGACAGUUGGAUUUAUCAACUGAGGAGUAUUUUGGUGCUGCUAGAUUGUGGCCAUGGGAAAUUGUUUACUGCCGGCAGCGUAAAAAGGGUCCGAUUUCUACAGAAAAUUAUGCGAGACGGCUUGAACAAAACAGAGAAUAUGGUAUCGUGGAUACGUAUAUAAGAAGCAGCAGUGGUUGGUGGGAGUGCAAUCAACAUGAGUGCAAUCAAAAUGUUCCAUGAACAUCGUAACCUUCUUGCUAUUGGUUUAUUUUGUUUUUUGAUCUGCUCAAACCUUGCAGUUUUGAGGAUUUCAAGUUUUUCAUGCAAUUUUCGUCUAGACAUGAAAUUCCUCUUCUAUUGUUAGGUAAUGACAUCUUGGCCUCGAUUCUCGGAGAUUAAAAAAAUAAUCAAGUGUCUAGAUAUUUUGAGUCAUUUUUUUGGCGUUAGAAAGUUGAAAAAUUUUCUCCACGAAGGCUGUGUAGAGAUUUAUACCGGAAACUAAUCGCACUACUAAAAUCUUCAUGCUAUUACUCAGAGAGCAUGUGCUAAUGCAAGGUUUCAUUAUAUCCUCCAUGGGAAUUUAUUCAAGAGUUGAUGUAAUGAUCUCCUCAAGGUAUUUCCUUUUGCCCACUGAAAUUUAUAUUUUGUGCCUUCUCUAUUAUGAUAUAACUUUUCAAUAUAUAGUUGGUUUGGAGAUAACUUUCUGUUUACUUCUGUUUUUGUAAUCGUCCAUAGGGAUACCCUCAAACUGCUUGCAUUUCGGCACCUCGUUCUAUAUGCCAUUGCUGUUUAUUCAAUGCUAAUUAAAGAGUGUCAGAGUAUUGUUGAAAAAAUUGAUGCCAUCUUUUGUUGUUAUGUCUCAUCUUCCUUUAUGACCUUUAUCUCAUACGUCCGCCUCAUUUAAUUUCUUUUACCAUUCAUUUUGGUUUCAUCAAUAUAUCGUGUCUGAAGAAAAGAAUAGAAAUUGAUGUGUUUCCCUUUCGGCUCAACUUCAUCUGUUGGCCUGAUACAUGGCUCUUGUCACCUACAGAUAAGAGCUUUUUAAUGGGUUGCCCAUAAACACUUUGUACCCAAUGGUUAUAUGAAAUCUCUCUAGGAAACACUCUAUAAGACGAAUGCCUUGGCCCGUAGACCUGUUUCGACAAGGAUUAUAAACAAACUAGUUGAAGCUUCAUUCGUUUCUGGUCGUGUUUGAUGGGUUGUCGAGAUUGUAUAGCGGCUAGUAAACUCGCAUUUAGAGAGCUUUGCUUCGUGCAUAGCUUGUAGAAGUUUGUCUUAUACUUUGCCUGUUAGUGUUCAAUCUGAAUAAAUACAGCUAUGUUAAUGCUUUCUACAUACAAAUACUUUUUCGAACAUUAGUUGAAUAAAUUCAAUAUGUUGAUGUGUUCUUCCUAUAAACAGUUUUGUGGACCACCAAUGUCCUAGAGAGUACAUAGAAGUGAUCUUGAUUGUUAGUUGUAGUGGUGCUUGUACUUGUGUACGAAGAACUUCUUGAUCUUUUUGUUGGCAAUUAUGGAUUAUGGAUUAUAUUUUUUAUUUUUCAUUUUUUUCAGUUUUCUUUUGUUGGCAAUUUUAAUGUUCUUGUAAAUGAAGAAGACUAAGAUGAUGGAGAUUGCUAGAUCUCUUUCACUCUCUCUCUCUCUUACGUACUAGGAUAGUGAUGUAGAGAGAAUUGACAAGGAGUAAGAAAAUGUAUUACCCAUACGCACUAAUAUGUAUAGCAUUUUUAAAAAUUCAGAUAA